UACUGUGUAAUGCGACGACGAAAAGAAAGAGAAAAAAAAAAAGAAAAAGAUAGAAUAAAACAUUGGAUAAGUAAGAGGAAGGGGUUAAAAAAGAUGGCCGUUCUGAAACAUAUGACAAAGAACGGCGGGCAACCGCCGCGGCUGAAAACAAUUUUCACGGAAUGUGUUUUACGAUAUCGUUGAUCUUCGUCCUCGUGUAGAGGUGUAGUGAUUUUUCGAAUAAAGGGAUCGUGGCUAUAAAAGUCAGUGAUCCUGUUAGCAAAGGAGCCAUGACUACGAGUAAAGAAUGGGCUCGAUCGCAUCGGUGUUGCAGUGGCAUUGCUCGGAGUGCACUCUGAUAAAUCCAACGGAGAGCACGCGAUGUGCCAGGUGCGGCAUUACUCGUUUUAGGAGUGAUGAGAAGGCAAAUCUCAGGUUCAACCUGAGUUUGGAGCACGAAGUUCCAGGACAAAAAGAAGAGGAAAAGCAAAGAAACGAGGAAGGUGACUCUUCCUCAGUCUCCAUUCUACCAACAUCUCUACCGAAACUUCAUUUGAAGAAACUACCAGUGGACAAUACAUGUCCAACAGCUUAUGAAUACGUCAAAACCGAUCUCAUACAUUGCUCAGAGGGGAAUUUAAUUCUAUCUAAUCAUACAAAGAAAUCUCAUCAUGAUUUAUGGAAGGGAAAAUCUUAUAAAAAGGAAUCAGUUAAACGAUCUUUUUCUCUACCUUCCUUAGUAACACAAUGGACUUGUGUUCGUUGUCUAUUAGACAACAAUUGCAGUUCUGGUAUAAUUUGCAUAGCUUGUGAUGCAAAUUCUUCUAUAGCUAAAAUUGACAAAAAACAGAUUGGUGCACGUAGAAGCAAAAAAUUAAAUUUACGUAAAACAAAUCGCCUUAAAGUUGAAUUGUCUGAACUUCUGGCGAACAGUUUAGAUGGUUUCAAUACAAAUUCUUCUACAAAUGAUGCAAAAAUUAUUAAUAAAGAUAUGGCACAAUUAACAAGUAUAAGCCGUAGUGAAAGGAGACAAGACAGAGAAGACUGGACUUUACCACCAAUAGAAACUAUGGAAUCUACUACACUUUCUUUUACAAAUACUACUGAUACCUCUCAACGUUCACCAAAAAGACAUAGUCCUUCAAUUUAUGAACGAGUUAAAUCCAAAGUUAGUCGCUCUUUAUCUAAUGGAUCUGUUGUACAUAAGUUAUCUGAACAUGCAAUUCAAAGACCAACAAGUUUAGUAGUCUCAGAAUCACAACAAGAUGAUGCUCUCUGGAGUUGUGAUAAUUGUACUCUUGAUAAUGCUCCUGGCCUAGAACAAUGUGAAGCAUGUGAAGCUCCUAGAAGUCCAGCUCCUUGCAGUGGAGUAGUUAUCAGUGUACCUGCCUGGGAACCACGAGCUCUAUCUUCUGCAGGUUCACUUUCUUAUAGACGUUCUUUUUCCGAUGUUGAAUCUGUUACAAAUAUAUCUCAGAAAAAAAUUGUCAAUCGUAGAAGUCUCAAUGAAGAUGAACCACCUGCAGUACCACCUCAUUCUGUUGGUUUUAGUACAAAGCCAAAGUAUUCUUAUAUUGGAAUUACUGAUCCUGAUAUACCACCACCAUUGCCAAAAAAACAAAAUAAUAAAUUAGGUCUUAUACCCACAAAAGCACAUAGUGAAGCAACUAGUCCUGUUGAUGUACCAAAUGUAAAUUCAUUAAAACGUAUGUGGACGUGUCGAAAAUGUUCUUACGCCUAUAAUCCUUUAUGGUCAACAGGUUGCGAUAUAUGUGGAUCUUCUCGAUCACCGCCUUCAUUAAUGCAACCUAGUUUAAUAACUGUCACAAAAGAUGAAACAAAUUGUUCAAUGCAUACACAAUCUCCAAUUGUAGUAUCUAGAGAUAGUGUAAGAUACAUUCCACAAAAAACUGCUACAUUGGCUACAGCUGAAUCUGAUUUAGAUGAUCAAAUUGAUCCACCUUCUCCUGUAUGGACUUGUAAAAAAUGUACAUUAUUAAAUGCUGCUUCAAGAACAACAUGUGAGGCAUGUGGUGGUUCAAAGCUUAAAAGUAUUAUGCAUUUAGAAGACGCGACAUUACGAAAAGGAGAAAGCUGGGUGUGUCCAUCAUGUACAUUAAGAAAUCCACUAUCAGCACAAACUUGUAAUGCUUGUAAGACAUUAGCAGAUUUUCUAGAUAUACCAAAAGAUAGCAAAUUUUUUGGAUCAAGAAGUCCAAGUCCAAGACUCUGUUCGACUCCUAUAAAUUCAAAAAUUGUUACUUCAAAACAUAAAAAUUCUGUAAGAAGAAACAAUUCUUCAAUUGGAGAUAAAAGACAUUCAAGAAUUAAAGAUUCUGCUCAUGGCCAAUGGCAAUGUAAAUUGUGCACAUAUGAAAAUAAGAGUACAAAUGGAAUUUGUGAAAUGUGCCAAAUCUCAAAAAAUUUAUCUCAAUUACCAGUUGAAAGGCCUAGAAUUGAAUCUGGCAUAAGUACUCUUACAAUGCAACGGCAAGAAAGUGUAGUUAUGGAAAAUUUAAGACAAAUUGAAGAAAGAGAAGCAUUGGAAAAAUGGGAACGAAUUGUUCGCUAUUGCAAGGAGACGAAUGAACCUUUUGUUGAUGAUUCAUUUCCACCAGCUCCAAAAUCUCUAUAUUACAAUCCAGCUGAAACAAAAGAUAACCAUGUUGUUCAAUGGAGAAGGCCUCAUCAAAUUAAUGUUGAUUCUACAGUUGAUUCUAAACUGCCUUGGGCUGUUUUUAGAAAACCUUUACCUUCUGAUAUUUCACAAGGUGUAUUAGGAAAUUGUUGGUUACUGUCAGCUUUAGCUGUUUUAGCUGAAAGUGAUGAACUUGUAAAGAGAGUUUUAGUAAUGAGAGAAACCUGCCCAGAAGGAGCUUAUCAAGUAAGACUAUGUAAAGAUGGAAAAUGGACCACAGUGCUUGUUGAUGACUUAUUACCCUGUGAUAAAAGAGGCCAUCUAGUAUACUCUCAGGCAAAAAGAAAACAACUUUGGGUGCCAUUAAUUGAAAAAGCAGUGGCUAAAAUUCAUGGUUGCUAUGAAGCUUUAGUAUCAGGACGUGCAAUAGAAGGUUUAGCAACACUUACAGGUGCUCCCUGUGAGAGUGUGCCUUUACAACCAUCUGCUUUGCCAAGUGAAGAUGAACUUGAUAAGGAUUUAAUAUGGGCACAACUUUUAUCUUCAAGGCAAGCUAUGUUUUUAAUGGGUGCUAGUUGUGGAGGUGGUAACAUGAAAGUUGAUGAGGAAGAAUAUCAACGUAAAGGUUUAAGACCAAGGCAUGCUUAUUCUGUUCUUGAUGUACGAGAUGUACAGGGAAUACGAUUAUUGAGAUUACGUAAUCCAUGGGGUCACUACAGUUGGAAGGGUGAUUGGUCUGAUGAUAGUCCUAUCUGGACAUCGCAAUUACGAGAAAUGCUUAUGCCACAUGGUGCUUCUGAUGGUGUUUUCUGGAUUUCUUUUGAUGAUGUAUUAAAAUAUUUUGAUUGUAUUGAUAUUUGUAAAACUAGAGUUGGAUGGAGUGAAGUUAGAUUGCGCGGAACACUUCCACCUUUAUCAUCUCUCAGACAUUUAUCAUGUGUACUUUUAACGGUACUAGAGCCGACUGAAACAGAAUUUACAUUAUUUCAAGAAGGACAGAGUUGUUUUUCGUACACGUUCGCCAGCAGCACCAGAAGUAGGAAGAUUAGUAGAACAUAGUAAACGACAAGUACGUGGAUUUGUUGGAUGUCAUAAAAUGCUAGAAAGGGAUUUAUAUAUUGUUGUAUGUUUGGCCUUUAAUCAUUGGCAUACAGGAAUGGAAGAUACUUCUAGCUAUCCUGAAUACGUUCUUGCCAUUCAUAGUUCAAAAAGACUAUUAGUUGAACAAAUUUCUCCACCAGCAUUUGUCUUAGCUGAUGCUAUAAUAAGUUUAACUCUAACAAAAGGACAGCGACAUGAAGGAAGAGAAGGAAUGACUGCUUAUUACUUAACUAAAGGUUGGGCUGGACUUGUAGUAAUGGUAGAAAAUCGUCAUGUAAAUAAAUGGAUUCAUGUAAAAUGUGACUGCCAUGAAAGCUAUAAUGUUGUAUCCACAAGAGGACAACUCAGAACUGCCGAUAGUGUUCCCCCGCUUCACAGACAAGUCAUUAUAGUUUUAACACAAUUGGAAGGUAGUGGAGGUUUUUCAAUAGCACAUCGACUUACGCACAGAUUAGCAAACAGUGGAAACUUGCAUGAUUGGGGUCCGCCAGAUACUCAACAUUGUCCACAAAUUGACACUCAAGUUG
rnacentral:misc_RNA from 1 species